rfam:Pteropus alecto contig104229, whole genome shotgun sequence.
CCAAAGGCUCUUUUCAGAGCCACCCAGAGAACUCCGGAAGCAGCUG